CCGGUAGUCCACGCUGUAAACGAUGGAUGCUAGCAGUGUGCCGUAUCGACCCCGGUGCGUUGCGAAGCUAACGCAUUAAGCAUCCCGCCUGAGUAGUACGAUCGCAAGAUUAAAACUCAAAGGAAUUGACGGGGACCCGCACAAGCGGUGGAGCGUGUUGUUUAAUCGGAUGGUAAGCCUAGAACCUUACCAGGGUUUGACAUCCUUGGAAUUUCGCCGAAAGGUGAGAGUGCUUUAUUGAGCCAAGUGACAGGUGAUGCAUGGCCGUCGUCAGCUCGUGUCGUGAGAUGUUUGGUUAAGUCCAUCAACGAGCGGCAACCCUUAUGGUUAGUUGGAUUUUUCUAGCCAGACUGCCUCGGUAACGGGGAGGAAGGAGGGGAUGAUGUCAGGUCGUUAUUUCCCUUACACCCUGGGCUACAAACGCGCUACAAUGGCCGGUACAAUGGGCAGCCAAGCUGUGAAGCGGAGCAAAUCCCAUCAAAGCCGGUCCCAGUUCGGAUAAGAGGCUGAAACUCGCCUCUUUGAAGUCGGAAUCGCUAGUAAUCGCAGGUCAAGCACACUGCGGUGAAUACGUUCCCGGGUCUUGUACACACCGCCCGUCAAGCCAUGAAAGUCACCAACACCCGAAGUCUGAAUUUAUUUCGGCCUAAGGUGGGGGGGAUAAUUGGGGUU
rnacentral:rRNA from 1 species